GAUCAACGCUGGCGGCGUGCCUCAGACAUGCAAGUCGAACGAUUAAAGCUCUCUUCGGAGAGUGUAUAGAGUGGCGCACGGGUGAGUAACACGUAAGUAAUCUACCCUCGAGUGGGGAAUAACAACCGGAAACGGUUGCUAAUACCGCAUAAUGCAGCGGCACCGCAAGGUGACAGUUGUUAAAGAUUUAUCGCUUGAGGAGGAGCUUGCGGCAGAUUAGCUAGUUGGUAGGGUAACGGCUUACCAAGGCUACGAUCUGUAACCGGUCUAAGAGGACGGUCGGUCACACUGACACUGAAUAACGGGUCAGACUCCUACGGGAGGCAGCAGUCGGGAAUUUUGGGCAAUGGGCGAAAGCCUGACCCAGCAACGCCGCGUGAAGGAUGAAGUAUUUCGGUAUGUAAACUUCGAAAGAAUAGGAAGAAUUAAUGACGGUACUAUUUAUAAGGUCCGGCUAACUACGUGCCAGCAGCCGCGGUAAU
rnacentral:rRNA from 1 species